UUGAAGGUAAGCUAUAAUUAAGCUGUUAGACUCAUAAUCUGAAUAAGGUUUUAUCCCUUUCAUU
rnacentral:tRNA from 1 species